ensembl:lncRNA
UUAAAUGGGGGAUUUGCGAAGAGAAAACGCGUGAUUUUCGGUUAAAUGGGGGAUUUGCGAAGAGAAAACGCGUGAUUUUCGCUUAAAUGGGGGAUUUGUGAAGAGAAAAUGCGUCAUUUUCGGGUUAAAUGUGGGAUUUGUGAAUAGAAAACACGUGAUUUUCGCUUAAAUGGGGGAUUUGCGAAGAGAAAACGCGUGAUUUUCGAUUAAAUGGGGGAUUUGCAAAGAGAAAACGCGUCAUUUUCGAGUUAAAUGGGGGAUUUGCGAAGAGAAAACGCGUGAUUUUCGCUUAAAUGGGGGAUUCUUGAAGAGAAAACGAGUGAUUUUCGGUUAAAUGGGGGAUUUCCGAAGAGAAAACGCGUCAUUUUCGAGUUAAAUGGGGGAUUUGCGAAGAGAAAACGCGUGAUUUUCGCUUAAAUGGGGGAUUUGCAAAGAGAAAACGCGUCAUUUUCGAGUUAAAUGGGGGAUUUGCGAAGAGAAAACGCGUGAUUUUCGCUUAAAUGGGGGAUUCUUGAAGAGAAAACGAGUGAUUUUCGGGUUAAAUGGAAGAUUUCUGAAGAGAAAGCGUAUGAUAUUCGGGUUAAAUGAGGGAUUCUCGAAGAGAAAACACGUGUUUUUUAGUUAAAUGGGGUAUUAGCGAAGAGAAAACGCUUGAUUUUCAGUUAAAUGGGGGAUUCUCAAAAAGAAAACGUGAUUUUCGAGUUAAAAGGUGGAUUUGCAAAGAGAAAACGCGUGAUUUUCGGGUUAAAUGGGGGAAUCUCGAAGAGAAAACGCGUGAUUUUUGCUUCAAUGGGCGAUUUCCGAAGAGAAAACGCGUGAUUUUCGUUAAAUGGGGGAUUUGCGAAGAGAAAACGCGUGAUUUUCGCUUAAAUGGGGG